CAGGCCUAACACAUGCAAGUCGAGCGCUUGGGGUGUUCCCUUACGGGAAACCCCCUGGAGCGGCGGACGGGUGAGUAACACGUAGGCAACCUGCCUGUAAGAUCGGGAUAACUACCGGAAACGGUAGCUAAGACCGGAUAGCUGGUUUCUCCGCAUGGGGGAAUCAUGAAACACGGGGCAACCUGUGGCUUACGGAUGGGCCUGCGGCGCAUUAGCUAGUUGGUGGGGUAAUGGCCCACCAAGGCGACGAUGCGUAGCCGACCUGAGAGGGUGAUCGGCCACACUGGGACUGAGACACGGCCCAGACUCCUACGGGAGGCAGCAGUAGGGAAUCUUCCGCAAUGGGCGCAAGCCUGACGGAGCAACGCCGCGUGAGUGAUGAAGGUUUUCGGAUCGUAAAGCUCUGUUGCCAAGGAAGAACGCCUCGGAGAGUAACUGCUCUGAGGGUGACGGUACUUGAGAAGAAAGCCCCGGCUAACUACGUGCCAGCAGCCGCGGUAAUACGUAGGGGGCAAGCGUUGUCCGGAAUUAUUGGGCGUAAAGCGCGCGCAGGCGGUCUUUUAAGUUUGGUGUUUAAGCCCGGGGCUCAACCCCGGUUCGCACUGAAAACUGGGAGACUUGAGUGCAGGAGAGGAAAGCGGAAUUCCACGUGUAGCGGUGAAAUGCGUAGAGGUGUGGAGGAACACCAGUGGCGAAGGCGGCUUUCUGGACUGUAACUGACGCUGAGGCGCGAAAGCGUGGGGAGCAAAC
rnacentral:rRNA from 1 species